rnacentral:rRNA from 1 species
CGCAGGCGGUCCUUUAAGUCUGAUGUGAAAGCCCACGGCUCAACCGUGGAGGGUCAUUGGAAACUGGAGGACUUGAGUGCAGAAGAGGAAAGCGGAAUUCCACGUGUAGCGGUGAAAUGCGUAGAGAUGUGGAGGAACACCAGUGGCGAAGGCGGCUUUCUGGUCUGUAACUGACGCUGAGGCGCGAAAGCGUGGGGAGCAAACA